AUGCCUUUUGGGUUAACUAAUGCACCUAGUACUUUCAUGAGAUUAAUGAACGAAGUUUUACGUGCUUUCAUUGGACGAUUUGUGGUAGUUUACUUUGAUGACAUAUUGAUUUAUAGCAGAUCUUUGGAAGAACAUUUGGAACAUUUACGUGCUAUUUUUAUUGCUCUACGUGAUGCACGUUUGUUUGGUAACCUUGGGAAGUGCACCUUUUGCACCGACCGAGUAUCUUUUCUUGGCUAUGUUGUUACUCCACAGGGAAUUGAAGUUGAUAAAGCCAAGAUUGAAGCUAUUGAGAGUUGGCCGCAGCCCAAAACGGUCACACAACUAGCUCCGUUCGUCUUUUGUUGUUGA
rnacentral:rRNA from 1 species